GCCUCGCCUCUCCCCGCCGCGCCCGGGACGGGAGGACAAAAGGUCCUUGUGCGGGGCUCAAGUCUUGGCCUGGCCCCUCCCCGCUCCCCGCUCGCCGGCCGCGCAGUGACGAGCGCCGACCGCUUCCCAAGUCCUCGGCCUCGGGCGCCCUGGACGCUGGGACCCAGGCACCUGGAGGCCGGGGCGCCGCAGCCGCAGGGCGCUGGCGUCCACCCAGAGGCGCAGGCGCGGCGGCAGGUCCGGACAAACCCAGGCAACGCCGCUGUGUGGUUUAGGUUCAGGAGCUACCAACCUCUGAUCUGGAAAUAAUCCGACGUUCACCAGACACAGCUGUAACUUUCCAUGCUGCGGCUUCCACAUGCUUUGUGGACUCCGCCACUGACUGGGGCUGGACCAGGAGACCUCUGCCAGGGAGCUGACAAAAGCUCCACGGUCCGGAGCAGCGCUUUGGCAGCGCCAGGCUGCCAACGAAGACGAGCAGGAUGCUGACGUACUGAACCCAGGCGAACUUGAUCAUCUCCCAGAAUCCUGGCUGCCUGGCUCGUGUUCAGUGUGGCACAGCCGCAGACGAGAUGCCCUUAGAGGAAAACCUCAGGCCAUUGACUGCCCGGCCCAGCACACUGACCAAGCACAAGGCUGGCCUGGGCCCCUCACCGAAAGGACUGAACACAUCGAGCCUGUAGCCAGAACCAUGGCUGCUUCUGCUCUCUAGGGGUCGCUACUGUGGGGUGAACUGCAGCCUCUCUUCUAGUGAAAAGUGGGAGAGCAAACUGUCUGGGCUUCUCUUACAGGUAUGGUAAGGGAACGAAUCAAUUAGGUACGGGGAAGCUUCGGGGCCGCUGGAGUUGUGGGAAGCACGGGUGGGCAGGAUGAUGGCAGCAGAAAGGAAGGAUCCUGCACACCCGUCCACAUCCUGUCACUGCACCUUCGCUGGUUCCGAGAUUUUCAGGAUGACAAAGGUUCUCAUCGUUUCCACUGCCCCCCAAACCAGGAGACUGAGCAGCAGACAGGCUCUCCCCACACCUCACCGUUCCUUUCCUGGUAGGCAGCCACAAUGCGGGUGAGGUCGUAGUCGUAGGCAAA